GCCUUUUGCAUAAUGAGCCUGCGAGUGGUGGUAUCUGGCAAGGUUAAGUCAAGUACGAAGCCGUAGCGAAAGCGAGUCUUAAUAGGGCGAAUGAGUCAGAUGCCGCAGACCCGAAACGAAGUGACCUAUCCAUGAGCAGGUUGAAGCUGGUGUAAGAGCCAGUGGAGGACCGAACCGAUAGGCGUUGACAAGUCUCCGGAUGACUUGUGGAUAGGGGGGAAAGGCCAAUCAAACUUCGUGAUAGCUGGUUCUCUCCGAAAUAGAUUUAGGUAUCGCCUCGUGUUGUAGCAUAUGGGGUUAGAGCACUGAAUGGGCGAGGGCUGCUUGCCGCGGUACCAGACCCUAUCAAACUUGAAAACCAUAUGUGGAAUCUCGGGAGCCACGCGGUGGCUGAUGAAAGCACUCGUCGAGAGGCGAACAACCCAGCACAACAGCUAAGGCCCCUAAGCUACGUCCACGUGGGAAA
rnacentral:rRNA from 1 species